GCUUAUAUGGUGUAGAAAGCACGUAAGGUUUUCAUUCUUAAGGAGGAAAUAUCUUUUCUAUAAGUU
rnacentral:tRNA from 1 species